rnacentral:lncRNA from 1 species
GGGCUCUUAUUAUCCUCCGGCUGUCCUGCUCCAUUCCCUGCAGUCCAGCUUCCACACUGCUGGUGUAGGCCUGUGUCUCUCUGGAGCAGCUCUCUGCCACCACCUGCCCUCGCUCUGUCCCUACCACCAGGGCAGCCUUCACAGAGGUUGUACCCAGAUCUAUGCCCAGCACGCAGACAGAAUCAGGCCCACCCUCCAUGGCUCCUGGUAGACGGGACUGCCUUCACCUCGUCCACCACACACCAGCCUACACAAUGCCUGGGCACCACACAGCGUGCUGAGCCCUCACACCGCUGCUUCUCGCCUCUGAGAGAGCACCCGCACCAAGCAGAGCAAAUCAGCGAGAUCUAGCGGCCCAGCAGCACGCAGUGAGCGGGCGCCCAGCGCUGAGGGAGCGGUCUAGACUCUGCCCUCAGGACUCCGGCCAAAC